UGGUGCCAGCAGCUGCGGUAAUUCCAGCUCCAAUAGCGUAUAUUAAAGUUGUUGCAGUUAAAAAGCUCGUAGUUGAAUUUCGGGGUUAGUAGGUUGGUCAUGCCUCUGGUAUGCACUGGCUUUACUGAUUCCUCCUUCUUGAUGAACUGUAAUGUCAUUAAUUUGGUGUUGCAGGGAAUCAGGACUGUUACUUUGAAAAAAUUAGAGUGUUUAAAGCAGGCAUACGCUUGAAUACAUUAGCAUGGAAUAAUGAAAUAGGACGUUUGAUCCUAUUUUGUUGGUUUCUAGGAUUGACGUAAUGAUUAAUAGGGAUAGUUGGGGGCAUUAGUAUUCAAUUGUCAGAGGUGAAAUUCUUGGAUUUAUUGAAGACUAACUACUGCGAAAGCAUUUGCCAAGGAUGUUUUCAUUAAUCAAGAACGAAAGUUAGGGGAUCGAAGACGAUCAGAUACCGUCGUAGUCUUAACCAUAAACUAUGCCGACUAGGGA
rnacentral:rRNA from 1 species